CGGCAACACUCUGGAGAGACCGGACCGCCUGUGGCGCACCCGGCGCCGAAGGGGCACGAAGCGUCCGCGCUUCCAAACUCUCAGGCAAAAGGACAGAGGGGCAUGC
rnacentral:ncRNA from 2 species